CUAUUGAUAAAGGUAGUAAAUUUGAAUUAAAAAAUAUAUUUAAUCCAACCUAAACUCAUGUGAAAGUGGGGAUCAAUAAUCUCAUGAAUUUGAGACUAAAAUUUGAACUAAUUUACUAGUCUUGACAACCAAACAUAACCUUGGAUUAGAUUAUUUUUUUUAUCCUCCAAAUUACAGUCUAAAUGCUAUCUUCUAUCCUACUUCCAAAUAUAGUCUUCAAGUCUUAGAAACACACGGGUAAAUUGUAAGAUAAAGCAUUUUGUCAUGGAUUUUCAUUGCUUGACAAACUUUUUGGGAGAACAAUAAUGCUGCAGAUUGUCUUGCUAAUCUACAUCUUAAUGAGUUUUUUUUUUUUGGGGAAUAAUCCUCACUUAGGGAUUCAACAAUUCUUGUCUUAAGAUGCUAAUCACUUUUGAAAUAUUGUUUCUUUUGAUAUGCUUUUAUUUUUAAUUUCUUUUUUACCUAUAGUUUCUCACGAUGUUGUUUCAGUGCUAUGGCUUAUCUUAAGAUUGAAGCACAUUAUGUCCCCCUAAAUGGAUGUUCUGAUUACUCUUUCUUAUUUAAUAAAAUCCUUCAGUAUGUCGAGGUUCAUCAAAAGAAAAUUAAGAAGCUAACAUAGCCCCAAGUCUUCGCCAAGUGUUUUUUUUUUUAAAUUAUAUGAGAUUAUUGUUUAAGAGUACAACUCAUAUUAAAUGAGAUUACAAUUGAUAUUUACAAAUCAAAUUGUUACUAGGACUAAUUUACAUCUUAUGAAGCACCGCCCAAAUUUUUACCCUCUCUAUUAUUCAAGGGAUGUAUAUUCCACUUACAUUUCGAAAAAGAGAAAACUGCCUUCAGUCAAAUCGAAGAAGGAAAUUAAACCCCCAGAAUGCAUUGUGGGGGCUCGAACCCAUGACCUCACAAUUGUGAGGUUUGGGUUCUAACUGGCUCGUUCGCCGAGUGAUUUUUAAGUAGCUUGAUUAAGCUUAUUUGAAUUUCCAAUGCCUAGUCAAGUGGUUUUCAAGCACUUUAUUUUAGUUCAGUCAAAUUGA
rnacentral:lncRNA from 1 species